rnacentral:siRNA from 1 species
GUCGGUGCAGAUCUUGGU